CAAGAAUCAAGAAUCAUAAAGUACAACACUUAAUAAUAGUCAUAGGGCACAAUCAGUAAUCAAAUCAUACUAGGAAACAGUCAAUAAAAGUUGUUAGGAUUCAAGCAACAAGGUUACCGUCUUACAGUCAUAAGUAGGAGGAGAUGGGUGAAAGGAAAGAUGAG